GACGAACGCUGGCGGCGUGCUUAACACAUGCAAGUCGAACGGAAAGGCCCUGCUUUUGUUGGGUGCUCGAGUGGCGAACGGGUGAGUAACACGUGAGUAACCUGCCCUUGACUUUGGGAUAACUUCAGGAAACUGGGGCUAAUACCGGAUAGGAGCUCCUGCUGCAUGGUGGGGGUUGGAAAGUUUCGGCGGUUGGGGAUGGACUCGCGGCUUAUCAGCUUGUUGGUGGGGUAGUGGCUUACCAAGGCUUUGACGGGUAGCCCGCCUGGGAGGGUGACCGGCCACAUUGGGACUGAGAUACGGCCCAGACUCCUACGGGAGGCAGCAGUGGGGAAUAUUGCACAAUGGGCGGAAGCCUGAUGCAGCAACGCCGCGUGCGGGAUGACGGCCUUCGGGUUGUAAACCGCUUUCGCCUGUGACGAAGCGUGAGUGACGGUAAUGGGUAAAGAAGCACCGGCUAACUACGUG
rnacentral:rRNA from 1 species